AGAGUUUGAUCAUGGCUCAGGAUGAACGCUAGCGGCAGGCUUAAUACAUGCAAGUCGAGGGGGCAGCAAUGUCACCGGCGAACGGGUGCGUAACGCGUAUGCAACCUACCUACAUCAGGGGGAUAGCCCUAGGAAACUGGGAUUAACACCGCAUAACAAUAGAGUUGGCAUCAACUUUAUUUGAAAUAUUUAUAGGAUGUAGAUGGGCAUGCGUAGGAUUAGCUAGUUGGUAAGGUAACGGCUUACCAAGGCUACGAUCCUUAGGGGCUCUGAGAGGAGUAUCCCCCACACUGGCACUGAGAUACGGGCCAGACUCCUACGGGAGGCAGCAGUAGGGAAUAUUGGGCAAUGGAGGCAACUCUGACCCAGCCAUGCCGCGUGCAGGAAGACGGUCCUCUGGAUUGUAAACUGCUUUUGAAUGGGAAGAAUGUGCUCCUUGCGAGGGGUAAUGACGGUACCAUAGAAUAGCCCAGGCCUCUCGGCC
rnacentral:rRNA from 1 species